rnacentral:ncRNA from 1 species
GGCCGGAUAAGGCUUUUACGCCGCAUCCGGCAGCCGUUGCCUGAUGCGACGCUCGCGCGUCUUAUCAGGCC